ncrna:unclassified sequences HOLDH RNA
GUAGUGUUGAUGAAGAGGUCAACCGUGUCGGGAUAAUCUACGGCGUCCGGUCCCUUGGAAACAUUACCUUACUGUGAACUAGCACUUUGGGAAACCAUGAAUAACCUCUAGAGGGAGGUCGUGUGAGACAGUAAUGAAACUCCUAGACGUGGGCAAGCCUAACCAAAGGAGCAAUCGAAAACUCGAUGAUGAAGCAGCGUAAGCUCCCUGAUAUACAACUCCCUGAUUCAAAGUUUAUAUUAAAGUAAUACGAGAGGUGGCGAGUAUAAAUAAAUUUCCUGUUAUGCAGCGGAUUGCAACCGAAACACGAUAUUAGUAGGCCGCAUGGGAAGAUAGAUACAUCUCUGGUCUUGUAGAGAUAGCAUAUUGAGCUACAAGAUGAUACUUAAACAAGUAU